AAGUCGUAACAAGGUUUCCGUAGGUGAACCUGCGGAAGGAUCAUUAACAAUGGUGACAAUGGUUGGAAAGGGGUUUUUUCCAUCCAUUAACCCAGUACCUUAGUCUGGGCCCAGAUCCGCUUGUUAGAGCGUAUGAAGAAGUACACAUUGUACCAACUUUGUCGGAACCGGAUUACCUCCUUGUCGGAUACUGGCGAAACCUGAUCUUUGAAGGAAAUAGUAAUAUUUCUUUCAAUGAUCAUUACAACAAGUAACCUGGGGUACUUUAGAGCAGAGGCACAUUUCGGUGAGUCUUUGCUUUAGAGCCCUUCUAAUAAUCCCUAUUUUUUUUACCAUUUUACCCUUGUAAACUAAUAAGACUGAUAUGACAUGAUUUAAUGUCACAAUUAAAUCUGAAAACAACUCUUAACAAUGGAUAUCUAGGUUCUG
rnacentral:misc_RNA from 1 species